AGAAAAGCAGGGGAUCGCAAGACCUUGCGCUCUUGGAGCGGCCGAUGUCUGAUUAGCUAGUUGGUGAGGUAAAGGCUUACCAAGGCGACGAUCAGUAGCUGGUCUGAGAGGACGACCAGCCACACUGGGACUGAGACACGGCCCAGACUCCUACGGGAGGCAGCAGUGGGGAAUUUUGGACAAUGGGGGAAACCCUGAUCCAGCCAUGCCGCGUGAGUGAAGAAGGCCUUCGGGUUGUAAAGCUCUUUCAGCCGGAACGAAACGGUCACGGCUAAUACCUGUGAUCACUGACGGUACCGGAAGAAGAAGCACCGGCUAACUACGUGCCAGCAGCCGCGGUAAUACGUAGGGUGCAAGCGUUAAUCGGAAUUACUGGGCGUAAAGCGUGCGCAGGCGGUUUUGUAAGUCAGAUGUGAAAUCCCCGGGCUUAACCUGGGAACUGCGUUUGAAACUACAAAGCU
rnacentral:rRNA from 1 species